AAACUUGACCUGGGUCAGUGUCAUGCACCUGGCCGAAAAAGCCCGUCCGGGCGAUUGAUCCAGGUCAAUAUUGCGCCGCCGCGCCUCGCUAAUCUGAGCCCAUCGAGCAACACCCAACCGGCAACUGGAGGCCAUCAACAUGUUCAUCGACGAAGUGGUUCUCGCAGGGAUUCUUACAGUAGGCCUCAUGGUCGCUUUCUUCGGUGGGGUCGGUUACUUCAUCUGGAAGGAUUCCCAUAGCCGCAAAGGCUGAUCCUCCCGGAUACACAGAGCACGCAAGGCACUUAGGGCGACUUCGGUCGCCCGUU
rnacentral:misc_RNA from 2 species